rnacentral:rRNA from 1 species
CCUACGGGGGGCAGCAGUGGGGAGUAUUGUACAAUGGGGGGAACCCUGAUGCAGCGACGCCGCGUGGGUGAAGGAGUACUUCGGUACGUAAAGCCCUAUCAGCAGGAAAGAAAAUGACGGUACCUGACUAAGAAGCCCCGGCUAACUACGUGCCAGCAGCCGCGGUAAUACGUAGGGGGCAAGCGUUAUCCGGAUUUACUGGGUGUAAAGGGGGCGCAGACGGCGAUGCAAGCCAGGAGUGAAAGCCCGGGGCCCAACCCCGGGACUGCUCUUGGAACUGCGUGGCUAGAGUGCAGGAGGGGCAG